rnacentral:lncRNA from 1 species
UCCUCGGCGGUUGGGCUAUCUUCUCCGGCGAGGGGCUCUGGCGGUUAGGGUUAGGGUUUGGGUGCGGAUGGGGUUAUUUAUAUCUAUAUGCUUUUGAUCUGGGCCGUCCGUCGUUUUUAAUAUGUACUAUCCGAUCACGAUUAAAUAGGGAAUGAAUCUGGACCAUUUAUCGCGAUUCAAUCUAGGCUGUCCAUGCGCGAUUCAAUUUGGACUGUCU